UGCCAGCAGCCGCGAUAAGACGGAGGGACCUAGCGUAGUUCGGAAUUACUGGGCUUAAAGAGCUCGUAGGUGGUUAAAAAGUUGGUGGUGAAAUCCCAAGGCUCAACCUUGGAACUGCCAUCAAAACUUUUUAGCUAGAGUGUGACAGAGGAAAGUGGAAUUUCUAGUGUAGAGGUGAAAUUCGUAGAUAUUAGAAAGAACACCAAAUGCGAAGGCAACUUUCUGGGUCACUACUGACACUGAGGAGCGAAAGCAUGGGUAGCGAAGAGGAUUAGAUA
rnacentral:rRNA from 1 species